rnacentral:rRNA from 1 species
GAUUAGAUACCCUAUUAUAUGGACAUUAACAAGAAAUGAAUUAAUUAGAAGUAGGACUUGGAAAAGUAAAGCUUAUGGCGGUCGGUAACACACUUCUUAGAGAGUCAUGUUGGUUUAAAAUGAAUUUGCACGACCAACUAUUCGUAGUCUUGAAUAAUACAUUUUGUACACCUCUAUCUGUAAGCUUGGAAAAGGCUCCAUGCUUAAAUUCUCUUGAAAGAGGAAAAAGAUAAGUAAAGGUGCAGAUUAUGACUACGAUCCAAUGUGACUCAACACAAUAAGUAUCGAUCUUAGAGAAUGAAACUCGAAAGGCGAGCGAAUUUAAAAGUAAUCAAGUUUGAUGAAAAUCUGAUGAAUGAGUUCCUUUCGACGUACACAUCG